CCCGCACAAGCGGUGGAGCAUGUGGUUAAUUCGAAGCAACGCGAAGAACCUUACCAGGUCUUGACAUCCCGAUGCUAUUUCUAGAGAUAGAAAGUUACUUCGGUACAUCGGUGACAGGUGGUGCAUGGUUGUCGUCAGCUCGUGUCGUGAGAUGUUGGGUUAAGUCCCGCAACGAGCGCAACCCCUAUUGUUAGUUGCCAUCAUUCAGUUGGGCACUCUAGCGAGACUGCCGGUAAUAAACCGGAGGAAGGUGGGAUGACGUCAAAUCAUCAUGCCCCUUAUGACCUGGGCUACACACGUGCUACAAUGGUUGGUACAACGAGUUGCGAGUCGGUGACGGCGAGCUAAUCUCUUAAAGCCAAUCUCAGUUCGGAUUGUAGGCUGCAACUCGCCUACAUGAAGUCGGAAUCGCUAGUAAUCGCGGAUCAGCACGCCGCGGUGAAUACGUUCCCGGGUCUU
rnacentral:rRNA from 1 species